GCCUGAGUGGUCCAGGGGUACGAUUCGUCGUUCGGGUCGACGAGACCCGCGUUCGAAUCGCGGCUCAGGCC
rnacentral:tRNA from 1 species